CGGAAAUAGCUAAUACCGGAUAAUAUAUUGAACCGCAUGGUUCAAUAGUGAAAGACGGUUUUGCUGUCACUUAUAGAUGGAUCCGCGCCGCAUUAGCUAGUUGGUAAGGUAACGGCUUACCAAGGCAACGAUGCGUAGCGACCCGAGAGGGUGAUCGGCCACACUGGAACUGAGACACGGUCCAGACUCCUACGGGAGGCAGCAGUAGGGAAUCUUCCGCAAUGGGCGAAAGCCUGACGGAGCAACGCCGCGUGAGUGAUGAAGGUCUUCGGAUCGUAAAACUCUGUUAUUAGGGAAGAAUAAAUGUGUAAGUAACUAUGCACGUCUUGACGGUACCUAAUCAGAAAGCCACGGCUAACUACGUGCCAGCAGCCGCGGUAAUACGUAGGUGGCAAGCGUUGUCCGGAUUUAUUGGGCGUAAAGCGAGCGCAGGCGGAAGAAUAAGUCUGAUGUGAAAGCCCUCGGCUUAACCGAGGAACUGCAUCGGAAACUGUUUUUCUUGAGUGCAGAAGAGGAGAGUGGAAUUCCAUGUGUAG
rnacentral:rRNA from 1 species